rnacentral:rRNA from 1 species
CCUACGGGAGACUGCAGUGAGGAAUAUUGGUCAAUGGACGAGAGUCUGAACCAGCCAAGUAGCGUGAAGGAUGACUGCCCUAUGGGUUGUAAACUUCUUUUAUAAAGGAAUAAAACGAGGCACGUGUGCCCUUUUGCAUGUACUUUAUGAAUAAGGAUCGGCUAACUCCGUGCCAGCAGCCGCGGUAAUACGGAGGAUCCGAGCGUUAUCCGGAUUUAUUGGGUUUAAAGGGAGCGUAGAUGGGUUGUUAAGUCAGUUGUGAAAGUUUGCGGCUCAACCGUAAAAUUGCAAUUGUUACUGGCAGUCUUGAGUACAGUUGAGGUAGGCGGAAUUCGUGGUGUAGCGGUGAAAUGCUUAGAUAUCACGAAGAACCCCGAUUGCGAAGGCAGCUUACUAAACUGUGACUGACAUUGAUGCUCGAAAGUGUGGGUAUCAAACAGGAUUAGAUACCCUGGUAGUC